rnacentral:rRNA from 1 species
UCUUGGUCAAUUUAGAGGAAGUAAAAGUCGUAACAAGGUUUCCGUAGGUGAACCUGCGGAAGGAUCAUUACCGAGUUUUCGAGCUCCGGCUCGACUCUCCCACCCUUUGUGAACGUACCUCUGUUGCUUUGGCGGCUCCGGCCGCCAAAGGACCUUCAAACUCCAGUCAGUAAACGCAGACGUCUGAUAAACAAGUUAAUAAACUAAAACUUUCAACAACGGAUCUCUUGGUUCUGGCAUCGAUGAAGAACGCAGCGAAAUGCGAUAAGUAAUGUGAAUUGCAGAAUUCAGUGAAUCAUCGAAUCUUUGAACGCACAUUGCGCCCCUUGGUAUUCCGGGGGGCAUGCCUGUUCGAGCGUCAUUACAACCCUCAAGCUCUGCUUGGAAUUGGGCACCGUCCUCACUGCGGACGCGCCUCAAAGACCUCGGCGGUGGCUGUUCAGCCCUCAAGCGUAGUAGAAUACACCUCGCUUUGGAGCGGUUGGCGUCGCCCGCCGGACGAACCUUCUGAACUUUUCUCAAGGUUGACCUCGGAUCAGGUAGGGAUACCCGCUGAACUUAAGCAUAUCAAUAAGGCGGAGGAAGCGAGG